rnacentral:rRNA from 1 species
UACAUCGGAACGUGCCUAGUAGUGGGGGAUAACUACUCGAAAGAGUGGCUAAUACCGCAUGAGAUCUACGGAUGAAAGCAGGGGAUCGCAAGACCUUGUGCUACUAGAGCGGCCGAUGGCAGAUUAGGUAGUUGGUGGGAUAAAAGCUUACCAAGCCAACGAUCUGUAGCUGGUCUGAGAGGACGAUCAGCCACACUGGGACUGAGACACGGCCCAGACUCCUACGGGAGGCAGCAGUGGGGAAUUUUGGACAAUGGGCGAAAGCCUGAUCCAGCAAUGCCGCGUGCAGGAUGAAGGCCUUCGGGUUGUAAACUGCUUUUGUACGGAACGAAAAGCUUCGGGUUAAUACCCUGGAGUCAUGACGGUACCGCAAGAAUAAGCACCGGCUAACUACGUGCCAGCAGCCGCGGUAAUACGUAGGGUGCAAGCGUUAAUCGGAAUUACUGGGCGUAAAGCGUGCGCAGGCGGUUUUGUAAGACAGAGGUGAAAUCCCCGGGCUCAACCUGGGAACUGCCUUUGUGACUGCAAGG